rnacentral:rRNA from 1 species
UACGGAGGGGGCUAGCGUUGUUCGGAAUUACUGGGCGUAAAGCGCACGUAGGCGGCGCGACAAGUCAGAGGUGAAAGCCCGGGGCUCAACCCCGGAACUGCCUUUGAAACUAGAUAGCUAGAAUCUUGGAGAGGUCAGUGGAAUUCCGAGUGUAGAGGUGAAAUUCGUAGAUAUUCGGAAGAACACCAGUGGCGAAGGCGACUGACUGGACAAGUAUUGACGCUGAGGUGCGAAAGCGUGGGGAGCAAACAGG